rnacentral:rRNA from 1 species
GAUGAACGCUGGCGGCGUGCCUAAUACAUGCAAGUCGAGCGAACGGACGAGAAGCUUGCUUCUCUGAUGUUAGCGGCGGACGGGUGAGUAACACGUGGAUAACCUACCUAUAAGACUGGGAUAACUUCGGGAAACCGGAGCUAAUACCGGAUAAUAUUUUGAACCGCAUGGUUCAAAAGUGAAAGGCGGUCUUGCUGUCACUUAUAGAUGGAUCCGAGCUGCAUUAGCUAGUUGGUAAGGUAACGGCUUACCAAGGCAACGAUGCAUAGCCGACCUGAGAGGGUGAUCGGCCACACUGGAACUGAGACACGGUCCAGACUCCUACGGGAGGCAGCAGUAGGGAAUCUUCCGCAAUGGGCGAAAGCCUGACGGAGCAACGCCGCGUGAGCGAUGAAGGUCUUCGGAUCGUAAAACUCUGUUAUUAGGGAAGAACAUAUGUGUAAGUAACUGUGCACAUCUUGACGGUACCUAAUCAGAAAGCCACGGCUAACUACGUG